rnacentral:rRNA from 1 species
UGGGGAAUAUUGGACAAUGGGCGCAAGCCUGAUCCAGCCAUGCCGCGUGAGUGAUGAAGGCCCUAGGGUUGUAAAGCUCUUUCACCGGUGAAGAUAAUGACGGUAACCGGAGAAGAAGCCCCGGCUAACUUCGUGCCAGCAGCCGCGGUAAUACGAAGGGGGCUAGCGUUGUUCGGAUUUACUGGGCGUAAAGCGCACGUAGGCGGACUUUUAAGUCAGGGGUGAAAUCCCGGGGCUCAACCCCGGAACUGCCUUUGAUACUGGAAGUCUUGAGUAUGGUAGAGGUGAGUGGAAUUCCGAGUGUAGAGGUGAAAUUCGUAGAUAUUCGGAGGAACACCAGUGGCGAAGGCGGCUCACUGGACCAUUACUGACGCUGAGGUGUGAAAGCGUGGGGAGCAAACAGG